AGAGAAAACAGGAUGAAUGGAGGGAUUGAGGCAGAGGUGGACAAAGAAAGGAGAAAAAUAAGAAGGAUACCCGACGAGGAGGGGAAAAGGACAGAAGUUCAGCAUAGAAUCUUGAACAGGGACACCCCUAACAAGUUUGUUUUUCAAGAAAAUACAAAUUCAUCUUCUUAUCCACAGAGUGAAGCCUUUAAUCAGAGAGCAGAGAUCCUGCCAGCCCGGAAGAACGGCAGAAAUGUGAACAAUCACAGGACACACGCAGAAGUAAAGAUUAAAGGAUAUGAGAGUUUACGCUGUGAAAGUUGUCACAGGACAUACAGAGCAGAGCAGGACAUGAGACAACGGAAGAUUGGGACCAAUCCAGGAGACUUUGCUUUCCCUAAUGGCUUCUCUUCUCAGUACAGGCUGAAUGAAAGCGGAAGGAAUGCUCAUAACCACUCUGACAUGAUGAAGAACACAGAGUUGAGAAAAGUAAUCAGAAAUGUGUCGUUUGAUCUGCAGAGUUCAAGAACCCUGGAGGAAGGAAACAGUCAAAUUGAGGACAAGAGAGAGGAGGACGUAAUAAGAGACAAAAGAAAGAGAAGAGAAAAGAGGCAGAAAGUUCAGUCCAGCCGGUUGGUGAAGGUCAAACUAAACUUGAAUCCACUAAGAAAAAGCAAAGUCCAUCCAAGGAAGAAAAAUGAGCAGGGUCCUUUGGAGAAAAGCAGCUCCAAGAAAAGCAAAGAAAAAAGAAAGGAUGGAAAAGAACGUGAGGAGAAGGAAGAAAAAGGAAAGUCUAGCAAGAAAAAAAUUGGAAAAUCCUCCAAGAUUGAGACAUCGGCUGAGGUUGGAAUCAAGGAAGAAGAGGUCGGAGGAGAGGAAGGACAGAAAAGCCAAACACCCUCUGAAAAAACAAUUUCCAAAAGUGAUAACAAUGACCAGAAAAGUACAGAAGACAGUAGAUACCCAGAGAACAACCAGUCUGUGCAAAGCAGCAGUGCUGCUGACCAAUCAGGGUCCACUAUUGUUAGUGGACAUGGGCAAAGUCUGCUGGGUAAUAAGUAUCAAGGAACUGGCCUGACUCUGGGUAGUGCUCAGCAUUCGUCUACCAACCUCUCACUGCUUGGCUCAGCUGGCUCACAGCUAAGCGGCAGCAGCCUCUCUCUUCC
ensembl:lncRNA